CCUGGUAUCCUAGUGGUUAAGGAUCUGGCAUUGUCACUGUUAUGGCCCAGGUUCAAUCCCUGGCCCAGGA
rnacentral:tRNA from 1 species